rfam:Eutrema salsugineum unplaced genomic scaffold scaffold_31, whole genome shotgun sequence.
GGGUGCGAUUAUAUCAGCACUAGUGCACCGAAUCCCAUCAGAACACCGCAGUUAAAUGUGCUUGGGCGAGAGUAGUACUAGGAUGGGUGACCUCCCGGGAAGUCCGUGUGGAACCACGCCUC